GAUCCUGGCUCAGGACGAACGCUGGCGGCGUGCUUAACACAUGCAAGUCGAACGAGAAUCUACUGAAAGAGUUUUCGGACAAUGGAAGUAGAGGAAAGUGGCGGACGGGUGAGUAACGCGUGAGGAACCUGCCUUGAAGAGGGGGACAACAGUUGGAAACGACUGCUAAUACCGCAUAAGCCCACGGGUCGGCAUCGAUCUGAGGGAAAAGGAGCAAUCCGCUUUGAGAUGGCCUCGCGUCCGAUUAG
rnacentral:rRNA from 1 species